rnacentral:misc_RNA from 1 species
AACGCACAUUGCGCCCCUUGGUAUUCCAUGGGGCAUGCCUGUUCGAGCGUCAUUUGUACCCUCAAGCUAUGCUUGGUGUUGGGUGUUUGUCCUCUCCCUUGCGUUUGGACUCGCCUUAAAGAAAUUGGCAGCCAGUGUAUUGGUAUAGAAGCGCAGCACAAUUCGCGAUUCUAGCUAAUCAACGCUGACAACCAGAAGUCUUUUUUCAACUUUUGACCUCGGAUCAGGUAGGGAUACCCGCUGAACUUAA